UACGGGGGGGGCAAGCGUUGUUCGGAAUUACUGGGCGUAAAGGGCGCGUAGGCGGCGUGACAAGUCACUUGUGAAAUCUCCGGGCUUAACUCGGAACGGCCAAGUGAUACUGUCGUGCUAGAGUGCAGAAGGGGCAAUCGGAAUUCUUGGUGUAGCGGUGAAAUGCGUAGAUAUCAAGAGGAACACCUGAGGUGAAGACGGGUUGCUGGGCCGACACUGACGCUGAGGCGCGAAAGCUAGGGGAGCAAACGGG
rnacentral:rRNA from 1 species